rnacentral:lncRNA from 1 species
CUUUCAUUGAAGAGCUUCUUCUCAUGGCAGUCACCACCCCAUAGAUGUCGCAGGUCCUGAAACGCUGCUCUUUGUGGAAUCUGGAUGGGGCAUGGGGACCUGGGAAGACCAGUGGCAACGACACAGGACUGGGCGAGUUCUGGGAUGGACAGAAUACUCUGUCAAGCCUUGAGCCUUAACACAGCCCCACGAGGUCAGUACUAUGAUGGUUAUCAUCUUUACUGCACAACUAAGGAAAGGGAAGAAAGGUUAGAAAUUUGUCCAGGGACACAGGGCAAAGAUAUGGACUCAGCAGCAUGGUGGCAGUGGCCGCACCGGUAGCCGCGCUAUGGUGCCUCUCAGAGGGGAGAGCCAUGGCCGAG